AUGUCGAGGAGGGGUAGGCGGUUGGGUAUCGCUUAUGUCCAUGACGACAAAGAGCGUGAUGUCACCUUCUUCAAGCGACGUGGUGGUUUAUUCAAGAGCGCCGCCGACCUCAAUGCCAUCACGGGUGCUAGCGUUGUUGUCAUCCUGGAGACAGGAAAUAAGAAAAUGUACUCAUUCGGGACGCCAUCAGCUGGCCCCAUUGUCGAUGCUUUUUUGUCAGCAGCACCGCUAGGAAAUCGACUCACUGAGAAGGAAACAAGUUCCAAGAUUGCCCGACUACAAAGUGAGGUGGCUCAGCUUGAUAUGGAGCAUGGGAUGGAGGAUAAGAGAAAUCAACUCUCCAUUCAGCACGUGAAAAAAUUCCAAGAACAGUACCCAGGUAUGGUGGCAAACCUUAUCUUCUCGAAGGAACAAGAUCUCAACCUGGAAGAUGCUAAAAAGCUCUUCAAUGAACUCUCUCGUGUCCAUGAGGACACUAGACGCCGGCUGCCUAAAUUGCAUCAUAGCUACAAAGCCAUAACUGGUGGUGCAAGCGUGAUUCAAAACAUGCUACCAUCAAGUGGUCCACUGCUGAAGAGCUUGAAGACUAUCCCUUCAUCAGUGCACUCAAUGUGGGAUCACCAUCUUCCGCAACACCAUAUGCCUUCCACUCCGCUAAUAUCACCACCAGAUCACAACGUGGAACCAGUUUUUCCUCGGGCACCACAAAUGUUCCAUGUUGCAUCAGCAACUUCAGCACCACAGUUUGCUUCCCAGCUACAAGGCAUACCUAAUCAGGUACAGGAUCUGCCUCCAACAGAUUUGCAUGUUGAGGACUAUAUAAGCCCUUGCGACACAGUGCACUCACCAAAAAACAAUGCAAGCCCUAUCUCAACAACUGAGCAUAAUAUGGAAGCCUCUCCACUAUUGGUCUACUCAAGUGGCAACGAUUUUGUUGUGGAUGGCCCAUUUGGCCAUGAUCAAUGGGGUUUUGCUCUACCAGAUCAACAGCUCUACAAUAGAUUUCUAGGGAUGGAUAGUUACUUGGGCAUUAAUGGUACCGAUGUAGGACAAUCUUCUGUGGGUAAUGGUGGAUGGGUUGAUGCUCCUGCAGAAUCUUCUCCUGGCAAGCAAGAUGUCGAU
rnacentral:rRNA from 1 species